rnacentral:rRNA from 1 species
CAACCUGGUUGAUCCUGCCAGUAGUGUAUGCUUCUCCUAAAGACUAAGCCAUGCAUGCCUUCGAAUAAGAGGAAGCAAUUCUCUCUGAAUCUGCGAACGGCUCCGCAAACCAGUUGUAAACUAUAGCAAGCAAGCCUUGUGCCUGCCUUCACGGGUGGGUGCUUGGCGAUAUGGAUAACCCUGGUAAUUCUGAGGCUAAUACAAGAACGUAAAACCUGGCUGACUGCUUUCGUGGAAGGCUGGGGGACGUGCGAGUUGUGUCGCGAGAAUUUUCCGGGAAUGGACGCACGUUCAGACCGCGCUAAAAAGGAUCGGCUUCCCUUCACGGGGGGGCUGGCCCCAGCGGCUCUUGCUUUGUGCUUCUGACCUAUCAACUAGAUGGCAGCGUAACGGACAUGCUAUGGU